rnacentral:rRNA from 1 species
GUGGUUAAUUCGAAGCAACGCGAAGAACCUUACCAGGCCUUGACAUGCAGAGAACUUUCCAGAGAUGGAUUGGUGCCUUCGGGAACUCUGACACAGGUGCUGCAUGGCUGUCGUCAGCUCGUGUCGUGAGAUGUUGGGUUAAGUCCCGUAACGAGCGCAACCCUUGUCCUUAGUUACCAGCACGUUAUGGUGGGCACUCUAAGGAGACUGCCGGUGACAACCGGAGGAAGGUGGGGAUGACGUCAAGUCAUCAUGGCCUUUACGGCCUGGGCUACACACGUGCUACAAUGGUCGGUACAAAGGGUUGCCAAGCCGCGAGGUGGAGCUAAUCCCAUAAAACCGAUCGUAGUCCGGAUCGCAGUCUGCAACUCGACUGCGUGAAGUCGGAAUCGCUAGUAAUCGUGAAUCAGAAUGUCACGGUGAAUACGUUCCCGGGCCUU